rnacentral:ribozyme from 13 species
UGCAAAACAAAAAUCAAAAAUCAAAAUUGCAAGAAUAAAAAUACAGAAUAAAGAGGAGGACUUCAUCUCUUCUCUUUCUUCUUUCUUUCUUUCUCUCUCUUCUUUUUUCUCUUUCUUCUUCU